rnacentral:rRNA from 1 species
GUGGGGAAUAUUGGACAAUGGGCGAAAGCCUGAUCCAGCCAUGCCGCGUGUGUGAAGAAGGUCUUCGGAUUGUAAAGCACUUUAAAUUGGGAGGAAGGGCAGUAAGUUAAUACCUUGCUGUUUUGACGUUACCGACAGAAUAAGCACCGGCUAACUUCGUGCCAGCAGCCGCGGUAAUACGAAGGGUGCAAGCGUUAAUCGGAAUUACUUGGCGUAAAGCGCGCGUAGGUGGUUUUGUAAGUUGGAGGUGAAAUCCCCGGGCUCAACCUGGGAACUGCCUCCAAAACUGCAUGACUAGAGUACGGUAGAGGGUAGUGGAAUUUCCUGUGUAGCGGUGAAAUGCGUAGAUAUAGGAAGGAACACCAGUGGCGAAGGCGACUACCUGGACUGAUACUGACACUGAGGUGCGAAAGCGUGGGGAGCAAACAGGAUUAGAUACCCGUGUAGUCC